rnacentral:rRNA from 1 species
UGCGCAGGCGGUUUUGUAAGACAGUGGUGAAAUCCCCGGGCUCAACCUGGGAACUGCCAUUGUGACUGCAAAGCUAGAGUACGGUAGAGGGGGAUGGAAUUCCGCGUGUAGCAGUGAAAUGCGUAGAUAUGCGGAGGAACACCGAUGGCGAAGGCAAUCCCCUGGACCUGUACUGACGCUCAUGCACGAAAGCUGGGGAGCAAACA